UCCUACCUUAGUCCCUGAAGCCUAUCAUGGCGUUUGUUAGGUCCCAACAUAAUCCAUACAAGCUAACAAUCCAACUGCAGCUUCCCCAGGUGCCUACGACUUAGCGAGCAUGCACACAACAACACAAUGAUCCUAUUUUCUGACUUACAGUCUGAUAGGGACUUUUUUCCCCAAUUUUUGAUAAUCUUGCAAUGGCAUAAGAAUUAAAUAUACUUAUGAAAGCAUGUAAGAAGUUGUUUUUGUUGAAAAACAUAAAAUAACAUGAAAUAAAGACUAGGAAAAACUGAGACAGUUAAACACAGUUAAUGUUAUCUUUUUUUUUUUGAAAGUAGCAAUCAAGACUUAAUCAUACAGUUAAUCUUAUAUUUGAAGUCAAAUAACUGAUGUAUAACCAACCAAAGAUGUGUGACAGCAUCUGUAAUGCAAAAUCUUAAUGUAAUGCAAUACUUUUGUAUUAAUAUUUCAUGUUUAAGGUGUUCAAUUUAUUUAUUCCUUAAAAUUAUACUUGUGUGUGAAUAAAUUUGAUUAGCAUAUUCACAUAAUUUAUUUCUUAUUAAAAGGAAGAAACUAGAAAUAAAUAAAACUCCUACCUCUCCCCACCAUGCAGAGUGGAAGAGGCAGUUCUCCAGGGGCAUUUGUUUUCGGUCCUGACAGGAAGGAAGCACUCAGAGAAUCCAUUUCCUGUAGUUGCUAUUAUCAGUCUCCACAGCCAUAAUAAAAGUCUCUCACUCUUCCUUGCUUUCAGAUGUCCUAAAAAGUCAUAGAUAUGCUUUCUCAUUAUUUUAAAAAUACAAUAAAAUACACCAAUUAAAGAGAAGGGAGUAUGGUGGCCAGAAAUAUGUAUUCGCUUUUGCUUAACUCUUAAUUUGAAGGUAUGUUUUAUCUUUUGUUCUGAAAUAAUUUCAAACUUACAGGAAUGUUGCAAAAAUUAUACAAAGGACCCUGUACGCUUCACUCAGAUUCAUCAACUGUUAAUUUUUGGACUCAUUUGCAGUCUCUCUCUCUCUCUCACUUUCUAUAUAUAUGUAUCUUUAUAUACACAUAAAAAAAUUUCCAAAACAAAUUGAGAGGAAAUCUUAGACACUGUACUUCAUUAUUCCUUUAGUACUUCAGUGUGAUCUGUUGAGAAAACGACAUUUUCUUACAAAGCUCCAGUAUAUUGAAAAAUUUUAGGAAAUGAACAAUGAUGCUGUUAUUUAAUCCACAGUCCAUAUUCAAAAUUCACCAAUUAUUUAGCCACAUCAAUGCCUUCCUUCUGCUGAGGCAUUCUUAGGGCUUAAAGUAAAACCUAACCUUCAUACCAUGACAGUUUAC
rnacentral:lncRNA from 1 species